rnacentral:lncRNA from 1 species
UUUAAUACUCAGUGUAUACAUUUUGCAGAUUAAAUUUAAAUACGUAUUUUGGACCAGUUAUUUGAUAAAAUUUCUUCAGACGUUGUUUUUCAAACCAUCAUCAUAAAUUUAACAUAUCUGAUUUUCGUAAGUACUUCAAACCCCUAGCAAGGGAAAACUGUAAAUCUAAUGAAUAAGAUCUUCUCAGGCAAUUAGACAAUAUUUACAAACAGGCUGCUUGACUCAAAGGUGACUUCCUUAAAUCCGAGUUUCUCAGCCCCAGCACUGUGGAUGUUUUGAGCGGGUAAUUCUUUGUUAUGGAGGCUGUCCUACAACAGGGUCUUAAGAGGCCAGCAGCACCUCCCAGUUGUGACAAUAAAAAUUAUCUCCCCACAGUACCAAGGUUACCCCUGACUGGGAACCAUUGCCUUAAGUAUUUAAACACUGAUGAAAAGCUUAAUCUUUUUAAAACUUUAAAAUUCUUAAGCAUUUUGAUAAGCUCACAAAUUUAUACUUCAGAUGCUCAUAAACUUCAGAUGCCUUUAAAAAUUAAAAUAUCAAAACUCUUACAAAGCUCAUUGCUUCAAGUCCAGUUGACCGAUUACCAAAUCAGCCAGAGAAUUUUCUUCUCUGGCUGUCUACACCCCUGUCUCCCUUCCGGGACUUUCUGACCCUGCUAAGGGGAUGUGCUCACCCAACUAGAAGCUGUGGAAUUACCUCUCAGGCUGCCUGAGGUCACGCACUCAUGGUUUCUGGUCAGAGUCUCAGGUCAGAGGACAAGAACUGAGGGUUGAGGUCAGAGAUUUGGGACCAGCAGGGGCUCCGGGGCGCCGCUUGCGGGGUGGUGAGCCCCGUAUUGGCUCCAUGACUCCUUCAUGGGGCCUCCCAGCCCACGCCCUUCGCUGGGCCUCGCAAACCUCCCGGGAUCCGGUGAGUCCAGCUUCCUUUGUAGCCUUGUCGCUUUAGAAAUGUUAUUACUCAUUUUGACCUGACAGAGUUUACCGCCUUCUGAGCCAGCCUUUCACGCGAUUGGCCAGGUAGGGCCCUGAACGCCUGUGUGGGUGGAUCAGUGCACACACGCGCGGUAGACGUGAUCUGGGGCUCGCAGGGCCUCCUGGUCCUGCUGCACACGGCUGGCCGACCCUUCCUCUCAGCGUUCCCCUCUCAGACUCCAUAGAUAAUGAUGCUUAUUUUUAACAGCGACGUUAUUAUUUGUGGUUGAAGUUUUACAGCAGAGCAAUUUCUGAUCUCAGCUCUAAAGAGAACAUCUACCUCUGUGGGUUAUUUUCCACCGGUAUGUUUGGAAUUUGCUUGUGCUGUAAUUUGGCAACUCCUGAAACUUUAGCCUAAAAAAUUUUGUGUGAGGUUUUGAAACGAUACUUAGAAACCUGAGAAAAAUAUAAAACACUCUCAGAUCCACACAUCAAGCAUGAGGCCUUUUCCUAAAGUACUCAGUGUUUGUUGAGGGAGUGAAUGGAGGCCCCCAAGCCUUCAUUAAUUCUGAUGCGGACCCCUGAGCUCUCCUUGUCCUCUGGGCUCGCGACUCCCUCCUUCUUCUGAGGCAAAUGGGGAGGUUUGAGCACAAACACUCACUGGAAUUAAGCCUGGUUUGUAGGACUCGCGGGGGAGGGAGGGGAACACCAGCUACAGAGUCAGGGACCCUGUCUGGGGCUCCCAAGGCUCACAGCAGGUGUUCAGCAGCAGGUGACGCUCACACCUGCCUCUGGUUGGGCCUGUUUAACUGCUCACACCUGCCUCUGGUUGGGCCUGUUUAACUGCUCACACCUGCCUCUGGUUGGCGGCCUAUUUAACUCCUCACCUGCCCGUCUUCUACUCUGAUCACAAAGAUCCCUCGUCCCCGCCCCCCACAACCCCCUACAACCUCCUCUGUUUUGCAUGCGAGGUCCCUCACAGCGUAGGCUCAGGCCCUAGGAAGAGUGGAGGAGCUGCUGGAGCAGCAGAUGCGGCGAGGACUGCUGGACCUGGGGAUCCUGCUACCUGGCCUGUUGCCGUCUGUGGCCCACCAGCCCCAUUAGGGCAGCAACAACGCCCAGAGGAGCCUCUCGCUUAACCAGGUAAGAAUUCGGAAGGAAGUCUUUGGCUUAUGGCUGCUGUGGACUGAAAUGGAUCCCCCAGGAUCCAUGCACUGAAGUCCUAAGCCCCCUGUGACGGUGUUAGGGUGGGGUCUUUGGGAGGUGCUGAGGUUGGAUGGAGUCCUGUGGGUGGAGGCCUCAGGAUGGCACAGGUGUCCCUGCAAGAAGAGAAAAGGGAGUGCUGGCUUCCUCCUCGGCCUUGCCAAGCUCAGUGAGAAGGUGCCUCUGUGAGCCAGGAAGAGGCCUCAGUGGACCCUCCUCUGCUGGCACCUUGACCCCAGGCUUGCAGUCCCAAGCUGGGGGAUGGGCAUCUGCUGCUGAAGCACCUUUGGCUGUGGCUUUGUUUAUGGCCUGGGCUGGCUCGGAUGCUGGUCUCAGCAGCCUGGAAGAGAACGGGGUCAGGCCGGCACCCCCUUGGAGGAAGCGAGGCCGGCAGACGGGCUGUGUGCGGGUGCCUGUCCUGGCCUCAAGCGCUCCGCGCUGUCUCCUUUAGGGAACGUGGGAUGUAAAUCCACACUGAUGUGUGGCUUCUCAUGGCCUUCCUCCGUGCGGAUAAACGGCGACCCCGCUUUAGUAGCAGCCAGAAGUGAAUUCCAGACAAUAUGCACGGAGUGUACGGGCGAGCCCUGGCUGCACUGUGGACGAUGACCAGGCCCACGGGACAGCAGCCGGGUCCGCCCGUUUCCUCCUGGCCCCAUCUGGUAAUCAGGCUUUGCCCUGGGCAGACUGCCCGGCAGCCUGGGCCGUGUUUGUCUUGGCGCACGUCCUGCGUCCGCUGCUGGUUCACGGUCGUGGUGCAUCUCUUGCGUGAAAUGUGCCCUUGCCUCACAGCCCCACCGUGUCCCUGUGAUAUGUGGGUACGAACACAGGCCCCUAAGCAAGAGCAAAUUGCAUUUCCUCCCCAGAGGGACGCGGUUCUUCCUGAGCUCCGGGGACCUCGCGGUAGCCUUCAAACACAUGGCAGUGUGGCACCCUUGAGUCCCACAAAGCUGAGAGAACCUCAUGGUCUGUGUUACUAAACUCUGUCAUAUCCUGAAACGAUGACCUCUCCAACCCAUCAUAAUCAUAACAAUGAAUUUCAGAUAUGCCUGAACACCAAAAGCAGUAGGUAAAGGUGAUUUUUCUUUGUUUUCUGAAGCCGGAGGGGUAUGAACACUCCCCGGGCACACACUCGCACACUCCCUGCGUGAGUCUCAAGGCUGGACAGGGCAUUUCCACAAAAGAAACCUGUGGAAAGCAGCCCUUCUUCUUGGCGAGGCCUGGAAGUGGCUCGGUCCCUGAGGACGUGGGGGGCGUUCUCCUCAGCGUCCACUUAGGUUUCAGCGAAGAAGUCCAGGACAUUGGUGCAAGCAAACACGGUUUUCCUCGCCAGCUCUUCUUUCACUGUGUUGUGAUUGGGUGUUGGGUCUGUUGAUGGAAAUAAAGCCAGGUCAGCAUCAGCAGGGCUGACACGAGGGAGCCCACGUUGAGCCGGAGCAGCCGUGGGGGCUUGGGCUUUUAACAGCUUUGUCCAAGUAGGCACGGGUAGCCCCAGUGUCCCGGGAGCUAUGAGUCCCAGUGGCACCCACAACCUGUUGAGCUAGGAGGCCUGGAGGGGCAGGUGGCUGAUCCGUGGCAGCUCCAGGGGCCCGCCCCUGCUGAGCUGGACAGCAAAUAUGCCAACACCACGCAGGGGUGAUUUUACGACAGGAAGAGAGGCCGGGAUGUGAGUCUUCCCGACCAACCAGGCCCCGGGAAGCUGUGGUGGAAUUUCACGCUCAACUGCAGGGCACUGUGGGCAGGGAUGUAUGUCUGCUGACCCUGGCUUGCACCCAGGCUGACCGCACAAUCCCCGUUCAGUGAGGGAGGCAGCUGAGUUCAAAAAAGAUCGGGUUUGAGCGGUAAAUACCACUCAGGUCUUCCUCCUCUUGGAUUUGAUUUAUGUUUUCUGGAGCCGAGCAAACAUACCACACUGUGGUCCUUGCUAGGGAGGGUGCGCAGUAUUCCUCAGGCUGGGGCCACCUCCGACCUGCACAGUGGACUCACGCCGUCCCCACACUUGCCCUCUUACUGCCCCGUGCUCUCUGGAGUUGGGACCCCCUGGCCUGGAGAUGUACCCAGAGGAGAGAGUGAAAGGGAGGAGCCAACGCAGAGACUGGCAGGUCUUUUUGCAAAAACCAAGUCAAGUGCCCCGUGGGCUCCACCCAGGAGAGUGCCCGGGGGUCCCCUGGGUAACAGGGUUAAUGCAGCCCAGGCCUGCCUGCCCCCAGGCUGUGGGGUGCGGGUGCGUGCUUGGCAGGAGCAGGCCUGAUGCAGAAGGGGAUUCCGGGGCCUCCCCAUCACGCUGCCAGCCUUUUCCCAUCCUCCAGGGUGCUGCUGAGGCCAAGGGAACUGGGUCAGGGCAGGGUGGCACCUAGGAGCUGCCAGCUGCACUUAUUUUCAUUUUAUUACUAGCUUUUUGGUAUCCUCGGGGAACUGUUUCUGGCCAACUCACAUUCACCCCUGGCCUGUACCUCACAGGUUCAAGGAGCAGCUGAACCUCGGCCCACAUCUCAGGGAAUCAGCAGUGAGUCCAGAUCUCACCGCACCUUCCCGGAAGUCACUUGGUCCCUGGAGAUUCAAAACCGUGUGAGGCACAAACAGCAGCGAUGGUCUCUGGUCUCCACCGACUUGGCCGAACUUCCAACUUCUUCUGAAUAAACCUUGGGACUUAAGGAGAACCUGCAACAAAUCCAGCUGAAUCUCUGCACUCCCAUAAAGAGACCUGGCAGUCUCUCUCAGAACAUGUCCCUUGGGAGCUCCAAGUCAACCUGCAACAAAUCCAGAAGCUUCCUUGCCUGAGAGACCACAUGGAAAGGUGAACUCACCAUCUUUGGAGUCACCUGAUGUCUAUAGCUCUUGUUGGGUAAGGGUGAAGAUUGCACUGUGAGAGCCUCAACAAUGAACACUAAUAUGAUUUGGGAACAAGAUAUACAAGAAGAGAUAGACUAUGAACCACCUUCAGAUACAGAAUAAGAACAAAAAAAGAGAAAACAAAAUACAGGUUUCUGAAUCUGUCAUGAGGCAUAACAAGACCUAGGCCAUCUGGUGACCAAAGAAUUAAAGACUGAGGGUCCUCAAAAACUCUAUUGAAAAAGAAGAACAAAAUUAGAGGACUCACAUGUGCUGAUUUCAACUUACUACAAAGCUACAGUACUAAGUACUUGUAUUGGCACAAAGAUAGACAUAGAUGAAUAGAAUAGAACUGUGAUUCCAGAAAUAUAUCCUUUGUUCAAUUGGUCUUUGAUACACCAAGAUAAUUCAGUAGGGAAAAGAACAGUCUUUCAAUAAAUGGUGCUGGGGACAACUGGACAUCCACAUGCCAAAGUAUGAAGCUGGAUGCUUACCUAACGCUAUGCACAAACAUUAACUCAAAAUUAAUUAACAUUCUAAUGUGACAGCUAAAACCAUAAAGCCCUUGAGGGAAACAUAGCAAUAACUAUUCAAGACCUUAGAUUAGGCAAUGCAUUCUUAAACACCAAAAGAAAAAAUAUAGGUAAAUUGGAUUUCACCAAAAUGAAAAACUUUU